AAACACGAUCGUGAGCCGAGCGAGCGCCGCGCUCCGCCGGCGCCCAGCCGAGCCCCGCCGUGCUGUAGCCGCCCAGGGGCGGCGGGCGGGGAAGCGACGCCCGCCGCGCACGCACCUGCCCCGCGGCCUCAGCACGCCGGCCGGCCCCUGACUCCAUGGCCGCUGUCUGCCCUAGCCGGCUGACCCCUGUCCCGCGGCGGGGACCUCCCUCCCCCGGCCAGCGCGCACUUUCCGCGCCGCUGGCAGUGCUCCGCCGGGGGUGGCUCCCCUGAGGCCGCGGCGCUUCCCUUCGUCCGGGUCUCCUGGGCGGCCCGGUCUGCCCGCGACGGAGCCUUCGGGCCGGUCGCCGCGCCUUCCCCCGCGACCCGCAUGCGGGUCGCGGGGAAAGGCGCGGCGACCGGCCCGAGGGCAGGAGCGGAGACGGUGCGCGGUGAGGCCGAGGCCGCGCAGGAGACCCGGCACCACCCGGCGUGGGACCACGGGAGGCCAGCCCAGCCCGGUGCUGCGGGCGGCGUGGCGGUGGAGACUCGGCGGGACCCGAGAGAAGCUGUCGUCCUGAGGGAGAAGGUGUUGCUCACCAGCCGUAACCUGCCUCGCUGCAAAGCAGCAGCUCCCGCCAGAUGCGCUGCAGCUCGGCAGGAGCCAUGUGCCAGGCCCCACCAGCACCCACCUGCCUCACCCAACAGGCUGGGGCUCCCCGCUGGGCACCAACCCUGGCGUGUGCGUCUUUCAGAACGUACCUCUCCUCCUAGAGUUAGACUGAAGUGCAGACAUAGCGGAAUUUAAACCCAGUUUUCAGUUUUCCCGUCCUUAAAACUUAACAUAGCCGUCACUGAGAAUGUGAGAUACAUGGCAAAGUCAGUUCUGGAACAAAGCCUUUUAAUUUAUGCGUGUAACUUAGGUAUAAGAGUUACUUAGAUUACUUAAAAAGUCAUGGUUUGCAGAUACAUUGCAUUCUGUAUAUAUAAAGAAGCAUAUUCAUCAGCCAGGCAUGGCACUCAUUUUGUGGUUGCUGUGUGGAGACAUCCUGGCCAUCUACUAACCUACUUUCUCCUCUAUUUGAGAAAGGCAGGAAUAGACUACUAAUGUUGUGUGGCAGAUCUGGCAGAUAUUACCAAUUCUGUCUCUUCCUUUUAAAGUGACAUCUGUCAAAUUAUCUAAGUUCUUCACCUCCCACAAGUAUACAGCAUAGCUGCAAGUUUCUUAGCAAUUUGGUAUUACCUUGAAGUAAAAAGUAGUAUAUUUACUUGCUAAAUAAGUUUGUUCCAGGACAUAUAUUUAGUAACAGUUAUACAUGGGGGAGAGGGGGAGGGGAGGGCAGGGAAAAGUGAUCUGAUACUUUAGCUGAGACUUACUUGGUUUUAAGGUCUUGAUCCUAGAGAAGACUUCUCAGGCUUUACCUAAGGAAGUUAUACCAGGAAAUUGCUAGUACUUAGGCAUGAAGCAAACCAGUGCUAGUUCACUGAAUGCGAUAUUAAUAUUUAGCAGCUGGCAUAGAAACUUCUUGCAAGGUUAAAAACAAAACAUACUUAUAAUCCUACAAUCCAGUUGAUAGCCUAAGUGAAUGUGCACCUCAUUUACUGAUGAGUUUAUCCUGCUGCAGUAUGCUGCUCUUAAAAUCUGUCAAGUAAGAAGCAAUAAGUUACAGAAAUUGAGUCUCUUUGUUUAUACUCAUUUGCAUCCACUUAAUGCAAACCCCGGCUACCCUUACCAAAACAUACAUAAACAAGCAUUCUUUCUGCUACUUUUGCUUACAAACUGUUGCCUACAAGUCAUUCCACUGAUAGUUGGGACUUUGUGUUUAAAUAAAGCGUCAGUUGCUUUGACUAGAGAACAGGCUAUGAAGAGGAAGAUCCCAUUCAUUCAUUACUACUUCUAGUAGACAUGCAGUUUAAAUAUGACAAAAAUGCCAUGAUGUCUUUUAAAUUGUCAUAAAUUAACACUAUGAAAAAACCCCAGAUAUUUGCAAUAUCUCAGUAUGUGUUAGAAGGCACCUCACUGAGGGACCAGGAGUGAAAGGGCAUGUGCUGCAGGACUCACCAUCAGAGCACUCCUUAAACACAGCACCUCCUACGUGGCAGAAUGAGGUACCUGCUGCAAAUACAGGUCAGGGUCUACUUUUUGUAAUACAGCAGAGCUGUAUCUCAUUGUUUUGUGAGCUGUUCAUGUAGAUUGAAAGCAGAAUGUGAAUUACAUAGAUCAUCUCCAGAUAAAACAAUCUAUAUGACUCUAAAAGUACGUGGAGCUGGUAUAUUUUCCCUCUGUAGUUUCCAGAAAACGUACUUUCUUAAUGCGUUAGUGCUGACACUGAUUUUAAGGUAUCCCUUUAUCUGUAAAGCUGCAUUGCUUCAGUGUUACCAGUUUAAUAGCAUCAUGGCAGGAAAGAACAUCUUCAUUAAUACCUUUUGUAAAUUUCCAAACAUAUUCUAAAAGACUUCCCUUAUUACACAGCAUCAUUAGUGUGCAUAAUGCUUUUCCUUGAAUGCCCUGCCUUCAUUUUGCAAUAAAACUUUAAGGUCCACCAGCCAGAUGGAUAACCUCUCUCUUACAGUGGUGAGCAGUCAGCUCAGUGUCACGCACCCAAAAUGUUAAAAACUAAAUCCAACUCAAAUAGUACUGAAUAAGUACUAUGUGAAGGCGUAACUAUAAGUUACUCCUCCUUAAAAAAAAAAUAAAUAUAACAGAUCUUUGUCUUCUGGUUUUCAGGAGCAAAACAGUUUGCUAUCAAAGUGUCAUAUGUAAACAUUGCAUGUCAUCAACAUCACGCAUAACUUGAGGUAGUAGAUAUGGGGAAAUCCCCUUGCAAUGGGAUUGCACUGGAUAAUAAUGCAGAAGGUGCCAUAUACCUACCUACAAGGGAAAGCUCGACUCCAGGUGAAGCCCAAGAGAGCUCAUUUAGUUUUGCUAACUGGUAAGGAAGAGGGCCUCAAAAUUCAGAUCAGAACGGGGAGGAGUGGAAUGCCUAUAUGCUAUUUUUCUCAUGAGAAUGUGUCAAAUGGAAGUUAGCAAGGUUUAUCACAGUAGUAACCCUCAAAUCAAGGACACUUGAAGAACAGAAAAGCAUAAAGACAUUUCAUUAUCCCAAAGAUGAUAAAGCCAAGCAACAACAAUCCUGAAAAACAUCGAAAUUGUGAGAGCUUUCAACUUUGCCACUGGAAUUAUUUGUGCAAGAAACUUUUCUCACAGGAAGUUCACAAUCUACCCCUAAAUCUUUAGAAACGUAAGAGAAGUUAACUGGCAGAUAGUGAAGGAAAGGGCUUAAAGAAAAGAAUUGAUGGACUGCAUAGUGAAAAUAAGAUUACAGCAGGAGCAAGUUUCUGGAGACAUCUGCAUUGCAUCUAUAAAGAAAAGGGUACACUCAGGUCAAAUGUCAAUUUCAAAAUUUUUACAUACAUCCUUUACAGAACAAGGAAAAGUCAUUCUAAACGUUAUUGUCAUAAAACUCAGAGUUUAUCCCAGGUGUUCUUGAGGAAGAAUAUGCUAUGAUUGUGGGACCAGUUAGAGAGAUUAGUUUCCUCCCUACUCUGAGAUGUUCACCUUCGCUGCGCAGAGGCACUAAAUACAUUUUGGUGUCCUAAUAGAAAAUAUGUACUGUAUUAACAUCAAAUAAUACAUGUUCUUAAUAACUGGGCAUCUCUUACCUAUCUUUUUCCCAGCAAACCAAUCUGAAAUUCACUGGCUUAGGUUUCCUGUAAGCAGCAGAUACUGCAACACCUGGGAGUAGUGACUGCUCAGGUCAGAUAACCAAUUAUAUAAAUAACGUAUGUUUAAAUAUAGGUUCCAAAUAAGGCCAUUUUGAAAUUAUGUCAAUUAUUAGAAGGAAGGCCUCAGAUUCACGGAACAAGAAGAAGGAGAGGUAGAAGAGGAAUGUGACUUAGCAGGCUCAUACUUCUAGGAAUGAAAGUCAAGUGUUUUCAGAACUAUGAUAAAUGACAACAUUCCUGGAAAGGUAUUAAACUGUACGCUUCCAAACUUAAAUCAGUCUUUGUAAGAUAGAGAUUAUAAAAAUGUCAGGAAUCAGAGAUUGUUAGUGUUUUUACUAUAGAUGCAUUUUGCAUCUAUUUCCUUUACCUACUUCUUUUGAUUAAGAGUUCUAAACAGACUAAACAAGGAUAUAACAUCUCUUUGCUUUUACCUUUUCAUACAUUUAAUCAGAAAUAUUUAAUAUGUAGCCGCCUUCCAUCUUCUUGAACUUGGAGCAAGUCAGCUCCUUCAACAGACAAUAGAGCUACCUACCCUUGUUUCUACUGUUUUCUCAAACAAGCAAUUUUCAUCUGUAAGCAAUAUUCAAGUCCUUUGAUUCAGCCCAUCAAUUAUUUGCAGUGCCAGUGAAACUGAGGUUUUGUUUGUUAAGAAGGCAUCAAAUUCUUUGUUAGUUCCCUGUCAUCUUAGCACUUUGGGUAAUAGACCCGUCAUGGUAUUUUUUUAAAGCAUAAGCUAUUACAGUAUGCCACACUUGUGUAUUUGCUAUUAUAUUUGCCUAUAUAUAUAUAAAUUUUAUACAUAGGUAUAUGUAUUCACACAUGUGCAUAUGUACUCACCUACCCCAUACAUAGGAGGACAUAUACACACCCUGUAUCUAUGCCAACACCAGCAGCCAAUCCGAUUUAACUAUCAUAGUAGAAAAAUAUUCUUGUAGCUAAAUAGACAUACGGGUACAGCAGCUAAAGUAGAAAAUGCCUAAAUUAUUUCACCAUCAAAAUGAUGUAUUUAUGACAUUUCUAGGUUAGAUGGAAUGUAGGAUGCUGGGAAAAUACAGCUUUGGAGAAGAAAAUGCUGUUUUCUGUCUUGGGGAAUGCUGGAAGUUUGAGCUCAAACACUCUGUCCUUUUGCCACAGCUGAGCACACAUAUGGACCCUCCCUGUAUCAGACUAAUGUGCUCCUAGCCAGUCUGAGCUGGAAUGAUGACUAGAAUCUUCCAGUCUAUGUCCUGUAGCUCAGAAGAUUGAAAAUGCAGUUUUGGCACAAAUACAAGGUAAAAUGCCAAGUGACUGUGACAGCAAGUGCAUUGCUGUGAUAGAACACCAUCUCAGAUUGUAACAGCUUCUGCACCUGAUUCUCACGUAGCAUUUUCAUUUAUGAGCAAACAGGAACAUUGCAAUUGUACUAACAUUCAUUUUCAAGUUUAGUUCAAGUUUUCUGAAACUGAUUUAGAGCAAUAAUAUUUUUAUAGGAAAAAGUUAUUUAGAUCUUGAUUAAAUCAAUUUUGAGCCUUGCUGAAUUAGAGCUCUCUCCCCGAGCCAUAUACUGCACUACAUGCUUUAUAAUUUUUUUAAUAUAGCACUUCCUAGCAACUCUGAGUUGCAAGGUAACAAAAACAUACAUAAAUAAUAUACUAGCAAAAAUAUCUUCCCUAAAUAUACCAGCAUAUCAAAAUGCAGAGAAGCCAAAAUGAAAAAAAUGGUAUUGCAUUAAGCCUACAUUCGAGAAAUAGACACAAACACCAUGUAAGCACAGAUAUAUUUUUAUCAUUGAUGUAAUUGUCAAACUGCAUUUAUCAUACCUUUGCUAUCAUCAACAUCAGUCAGAUCCAGUGAUCCACCUCUGCUAUGGUUAUUUGUACUCCAAAUCUCUAAGAAGCCUAAAAACAGCUUCCCUUCAAACCAAACACAGAAAUUAAACAGUGGGGGUUUUUUACCAUAGAAAUGUUCCCCUGAACUCAAGUCUCCCUGCUUUAGCUACUAAGAUUAUUAGCUACAUUCCAGUCAGAAUCAAGGACAGUUUUAUAAUCCCUUCUUGUGUUUGUCAUUUUAAUAAAAAGUAAUUUGGUUUUAAA